rnacentral:rRNA from 1 species
UACGUAGGGGGCAAGCGUUGUCCGGAAUUAUUGGGCGUAAAGAGCGUGUAGGCGGCCAGAUAAGUCCGCUGUGAAAUCUCGAGGCUCAACUUCGAGCUGUCGGUGGAAACUGUCUGGCUAGAGUCCGGAAGAGGAGAAUGGAAUUCCUGGUGUAGCGGUGAAAUGCGCAGAUAUCAGGAAGAACACCCGUGGCGAAGGCGGUCCUCUGGGACGGUACUGACGCUGAGACGCGAAAGCGUGGGGAGCGAACAGG